rnacentral:rRNA from 1 species
ACCCAUAAAGCCAGCCCGCCCACCAACCCCACCCACACUAAAAGAACCCCCCCCCCUCCCUAAAACAUUUUACCUCCCCAGUAAGGGCGACAGAAAAGGAAAGCCGGAGCCAUAGAAAAAGUACCACAAGGGAAAGCUGAAAGAGAAAUGAAACAACCACCCCAAGCCUAACAAAGCAGAGAUAGCCCCUCGUACCUUUUGCAUCAUGAUUUAACAAGUACACCUGAACAAAGAGAACUUUAGCUCACACCCCCGAAACUAGAGCGAUCUACUUCAAGACAGCCUAAGGAACGAACCCCCCUGAAGGGCACACCCUUGUCUGUAGCAAAAGACUGGGAAGAUCUUCAAGUAGCAGCGAUAUACCUAUCGAGCCUAGUAAUAGCUGGUUGCCUAAGAAAUGAAUAUAAGUUCAGCCUCCCGCCUCUUCCCCCCAACGACUACCUAUCCCCCCAGGGCAAUAAACGCAGCCGAGAGAGUUAGUCAAACUGGGUACAGCCAGUUUGAAAAAGGAUUCAACCUCUUUAGGAAAACAAAGACCACAUACCCAAUAGGAUCCCCUCUUAGUAGGCUUAAAAGCAGCCACCUAUAAAAAAAGCGUUACAGCUCAGACAAACUUCCCACCUUUAAACCCUCAAACCGAUAUCAGACCCAACCCUCUAUUUCCUAUCAACUAUUAGGCCCUCCCACAAACCCUGGGAAAGACCCUGUUAAAACGAGUAAUAAGAGGAACGCCCCUCUCCUACUUCAUAUGUGUAACUCGGAACGGACCAACCACCGACACCUAACGACCCGCUACAGAGGGAAAGCUACACCACAACAAUAACAAGAAAACCCAGCACGCCCACUCGUUGACCCAACACAGGCAUGAACACUAGGAAAGACUAAAACAAAGAGAAGGAACUCGGCAAACACCAGCCUCGCCUGUUUACCAAAAACACCGCCUCUUGCAAUAGACGUAUAAGAGGUCCCGCCUGCCCAGUGACACACAAAGUUAAACGGCCGCGGUAUUCUGACCGUGCAAAGGUAGCGCAAUCACUUGCCUUUUAAUUGAAGGCUAGUAUGAAAGGCAUCACGAGGGCUUAACUGUCUCCCCUUUGAAGUCAAUGAAACUGAUCCCCCCGUGCAAAAGCGGGGAUACCCUCGUAAGACGAGAAGACCCUAUGAAGCUUAAGACACAAGACAACCCACACCCCACGCCCCCAUAAAGCAAAAGUGCCGAUAUUGUCCACGUCUUCGGUUGGGGCGACCACGGAGAUAAACAGAACCCCCGCACGGACCCAGGCCAACACCCUUCAAACAGACCCACAGGUCAAACUACAGAACUUCUGACCAUAAAAGAUCCGGCACACGCCGAUCAAUGGACCUAGUUACUCUAGGGAUAACAGCGCAAUCCCCUCCAAGAGCCCACAUCUACGAGGGGGCUUACGACCUCGAUGUUGGAUCAGGACACCCCAAUGGUGCAGCCGCUAUUAAAGGUUCGUUUGUUCAACGAUUAAAGUCCUACGCGAUCUGAGUUCAGACCGGAGCAAUCCAGGUCAGUUUCUAUCUACGCAUUGAUCUUUUUCAGUACGAAAGGAACGAAAAGAAAGGGCCCCUGCCACCAACACGCCCUACCCCCUACUAAUGCAACCAAAUAAAAUAGUAAGGGGACAAAAAACCCGGCCCCAAAUCGGGCCUA